rnacentral:rRNA from 1 species
AACGAACGCUGGCGGCAGGCUUAACACAUGCAAGUCGAGCGCCUCGCAAGAGGAGCGGCAGACGGGUGAGUAACGCGUGGGAAUCUACCCAUCUCUACGGAACAACUCCGGGAAACUGGAGCUAAUACCGUAUACGUCCUUCGGGAGAAAGAUUUAUCGGAGAUGGAUGAGCCCGCGUUGGAUUAGCUAGUUGGUGGGGUAAUGGCCUACCAAGGCGACGAUCCAUAGCUGGUCUGAGAGGAUGAUCAGCCACACUGGGACUGAGACACGGCCCAGACUCCUACGGGAGGCAGCAGUGGGGAAUAUUGGACAAUGGGCGCAAGCCUGAUCCAGCCAUGCCGCGUGAGUGAUGAAGGCCCUAGGGUUGUAAAGCUCUUUCAACGGUGAAGAUAAUGACGGUAACCGUAGGAGAAGCCCCGGCUAACUUCGUGC